rnacentral:rRNA from 1 species
GACGAACGCUGGCGGCGUGCUUAACACAUGCAAGUCGAACGGUGAUGCUCCAGCUUGCUGGAGUAGAUCAGUGGCGAACGGGUGAGUAACACGUGAGCAACCUGCCCCAGACUCUGGAAUAAGCGCUGGAAACGGCGUCUAAUACUGGAUACGAAACUGGCCCGCAUGGGCAUGGUUUGGAAAGUUUUUCGGUUUGGGAUGGGCUCGCGGCCUAUCAGCUUGUUGGUGAGGUAAUGGCUCACCAAGGCGACGACGGGUAGCCGGCCUGAGAGGGCGACCGGCCACACUGGGACUGAGACACGGCCCAGACUCCUACGGGAGGCAGCAGUGGGGAAUAUUGCACAAUGGGCGAAAGCCUGAUGCAGCGACGCCGCGUGAGGGAUGACGGCCUUCGGGUUGUAAACCUCUUUCAGCAGGGAAGAAGCGAAAGUGACGGUACCUGCAGAAGAAGCACCGGCUAACUACGUG